rnacentral:rRNA from 1 species
CUAAACACCAUUAUUGUGAUCUCAAAUCUCUUUUGCCAUGUUAUAAUGACAUAAAUACCUAUGAACCAACAUGCCAGCUCUCCCUCUAUCUCACUACAAUAAAGUAUGGGGCCCACUUGAUCCCAACAGCGUUCUUAUUUUCCUGUAAAAUUAUUUGCUUGGUUACUCCUGACAAGUGGGGCCACACAUAUCAUUGUGAGAUAGAGAGAACUGACAUGUGGGUCUAGGCUUAUUUUUGUCAUAGAACAUGGUCAACGGGUUUGACGUAAAAAUAACAAUGUCUAAUGGCAUUUUUGAGCAAACAUCUAACAGAACGAUGGCAUUUUUGAGAUAUCUAAUGGCAUUUUUGAGCAAGCAUCUCACGGAUUGAUGGCAUUUUUGAGCAGUUGUAACUUCUAA